GAGGGUGUAGCUCAGUGAUAAAGUGCAUGCUUAACACACAUGGGGUCCUGGGUUCAAUCCCCAGUACCUCCA
rnacentral:tRNA from 1 species